CGGGGCAUCCAUUCCUUCCUAGUUAAGAUGGUUUUCCAUGAUAGGAUUCCAUUUGUAAUAGAGUUUUUUGUUGGGUAGUUGUCAUUUGUGUCAUUGGUUCUAUUGUGGUGUGGGCAACAAUAUCUGGUGACUCCCUAUAUUUCUAUAGAUUUUCACCACUUCUAACAUUUUUCAUGUUUUUUGCACUAUUGAGUGAUUUAAAAAUACUCCUUUUUAAUGUUGUAUCGUCAUUAGAUCUUAUAAAGGAAAAUAGCCUCUAUUAUGUCUUCAAUGAUCCUCGUUUCUCAAAGUCUAUGCCAGUUUCUGCGAAAAAAAGAUUAUUUUCAGGAUUCCUUCUCUUUUGGAGAACGAGGGCACCCAGGCAACAUAGUCACUGGAGUGUUGGAAUUCAAAUUUGGACUCAAAUAUUUACUAGAUAUAUGACUCUGGACAAGCCACUUAACCUUUGCCUCAUUUUCCUUAUCUGUAAAAGGGAUAAUAAUAGAAUCUACCUUAUAAGGUUGGUGUGAGCAUGAAAUUAGGUAAUAAAUAAAAAUAGUUUU
rnacentral:lncRNA from 1 species